UUGAGUCAGUGACUGUCUUGAUGAGGCUCAGUUUCUUCUAUAAAAAUGGGACUGAUUCUAUGACCUCUGAAGGGCUUUUCAGUUUUAAAUCUAUAGUGGGAAAUUAGCCAAUUUGGUCAGUGGGUAAGGGAGAGAAUGCAGUCUUCCUGCAGAGACUGGCUGAAGGUGGGGGAUUAAGGAUUGUAAAUUUCAGCAGAGAAUUUAGUAUUCGAGGCAAUGGGGACCUCCUGAAGACACCUGGAUUUUAGGGAAAUCCAUUUGGCUGCUGAAUAGAAGAUGGAUUAAAAGGGAGAGAGCAGAAACAAUUGCCAUAAUCCAGCCACCAUGGCCUCUCCAACUAUGUCCAAGCCAUGAGCCCGGGUCUCUGCUGGCAGCUAUACCUUGGGAACUCACCAACUUGGUUGCUUUGGUCCACAAUCUGUUACUGGCCCAGCUGUAGUUUUAUAGGGACAACACUUUCACCCACUUCUUCCGGGACAUGUCUCUGCUACUUCAGCUGGACUGCUCUGACACUCAACUUAACCCGUUUUUGAUCUUGGUCUUGGGAAGCUCAUCAUUCUCCCAUAUGUAUUCAUCUCAGCAUCAUUAUAGCCAUCUUCAGGGUCCCAGCAACUAAUGGCCACAGAGGGCUUUUUGUACCUGUGGCUCCCAUCUGAAAAAUGAUCACUGCAUUCUAUGGGAAAGCCAUUGGCAUUUACUGCCUUCUGUCAUUGACAUACCUUGUGGAGGGAGAAAAAUUAGCUGUUGCAAUGUUUACCAUGGUAACUCCCAAGCUAAAUCCCUUUCUAUGUAGCCUUAUGAACAUGGAUGUAACCUGGGAAAACUGAGGUUUCAGAGGAGGCUGUUUUCCUUGGGCAAAUAAUACUGUGAGCUGGGCCACUGCAAGUUUUGGAGUCUGUGCGUCAGCAGAGGACAAGUUCUCUGAAAUGAUCUCUCCACCUGAUAGAAACUGGGACAGCUACUCUGGGAGCUGCUGUGGAAUAACUUGGUUUGAUCUCUUCUUGCCAGAUGAACUGUGCUCUCUGAUCUCAAGGAGCCUUCCCUUCAGGAAGGCAGUCCUCUUCCUUCUCCUCUCUGAAGGAUUCUCUGUUGUUUUACCCCACAAAUAUUUAAAACUUCCUCUUGUCUCCUUAAGUCUCUGCCUUAAGAUGGAGUGAAGUUUUGCAUUUGGAUACUUUGGAAGUACCAGAUGGUGAAAGCAUAAACAUCAGUUGUUCUGUAAAAGAUCUUGGGGUUUCAAUGUAUUGCAAGCUCAAUGUGAGUCAACUUGGUGAUGUGGUAGUCAGAAGAGUUCAUGCAAUCUUAAGCUGAAAUAAGAGAGGAUCUUCCUGGAGCUUCAUUUUCUAGAGAAUCAAAGAUCAACCUAACUUCAUUCUCUUCCUGAUUUCAUUCCUGCCUUCUCCAAGGCUUCAAAAUCAUGUCCCGUGUAGCUAGGUUCUUUCCUCUCCGAUUUGCCACCCUCUCUGCUUUUCAAUGUAAGCUCAGUGAAGACGGGGACUUUCCUUCUUUUUGCCUCUGCUUGAAAGCCCAGCAAUUAGCACAGUGACUGGCACACAGAACACAAUAAACGCUCAUUUCUUGUA